GCAGCGGAGCAUGUGGUUUAAUUCGAAGCAACGCGAAGAACCUUUACCAGGUCUUGACAUCCUCUGACAAUCUGAGAGAUCAGACUUUCCCUUCGGGGACAGAGAGACAGGUGGUGCAUGGUUGUCGUCAGCUCGUGUCGUGAGAUGUUGGGUUAAGUCCCGCAACGAGCGCAACCCUUAUCUUUAAUUGCCAGCAUUCAGUUGGGCACUUUAAAGAGACUGCCGGUGUUAAACCGGAGGAAGGUGGGAUGACGUCAAGUCCUCAUGGCCUUUAUGCUUAGGGCUACACACGUGCUACAAUGGGUGGUACAAAGAGAAGCCAACUCGCGAGAGCGCGCCAAUCUCAAAAAGCCAUCCUCAGUUCGGAUUGGAGUCUGCAACUCGACUCCAUGAAGUUGGAAUCGCUAGUAAUCGCGGAUCAGCAUGCCGCGGUGAAUACGUUCCCGGGCCUU
rnacentral:rRNA from 1 species